rfam:Cyphomyrmex costatus contig22264, whole genome shotgun sequence.
CGGAGGGGUUUUAGUUGGUAGGCGCCGUCGGUUAGGUUCGCCUAUCCGGCGGUGAAUCCAACACUACCCGGGGAUGGUUCCCCCGAGUGUUUUUGGAAGAUUUCCCCUUCG